rnacentral:rRNA from 1 species
GACGAACGCUGGCGGCGUGCUUAACGCAUGCAAGUCGAACGGAAAGGCCCUGCUUUUGUGGGGUGCUCGAGUGGCGAACGGGUGAGUAACACGUGAGUAACCUGCCCUUGACUUUGGGAUAACAUCAGGAAACUGGGGCUAAUACCGGAUAGGAGCUCCUGCUGCAUGGUGGGGGUUGGAAAGUUUCGGCGGUUGGGGAUGGACUCGCGGCUUAUCAGCUUGUUGGUGGGGUAGUGGCUUACCAAGGCUUUGACGGGUAGCCGGCCUGAGAGGGUGACCGGCCACAUUGGGACUGAGAUACGGCCCAGACUCCUACGGGAGGCAGCAGUGGGGAAUAUUGCACAAUGGGCGGAAGCCUGAUGCAGCAACGCCGCGUGCGGGAUGACGGCCUUCGGGUUGUAAACCGCUUUCGCCUGUGACGAAGCGUGAGUGACGGUAAUGGGUAAAGAAGCACCGGCUAACUACGUG